rnacentral:rRNA from 1 species
GAAACUUAAAGGAAUUGGCGGGGGAGCACAGCAACGGGAGGAGCGUGCGGUUUAAUUGGAUUCAACGCCGGAAAACUCACCGGAGGCGACGGUUACAUGAAGGCCAGGCUGAUGACCUUGCCUGAUUUUCCGAGAGGUGGUGCAUGGCCGCCGUCAGUUCGUACCGUAAGGCGUUCUGUUAAGUCAGAUAACGAACGAGACCCUCAUUCUUAAUUGCAACUAAUAACUCUGGUUAUUGGGCACAUUAAGAAGACCGCUGACGAUAAGUCAGAGGAAGGCGAGGGCAACGGUAGGUCAGUAUGCCCUGAAUCCUCCGGGCUACACGCGCGCUACAAAGGCCAGGACAAUGGGUUUCGACACUGAAAGGUGAAGGUAAUCUCGAAACCUGGUCAUAGUUCGGAUUGAGGGCUGAAACUCGCCCUCAUGAAGCUGGAUUCCGUAGUAAUCGCGGAUCAACAUCCCGCGGUGAAUAUGCCCCUGCUCCUUGCACACACCGCCCGUCAAACCAUGCGAGUUGGGUCUAAGUGAGGAUGUAGUAUUUUGCUGCGUUCAAACUUGGGCUUAGCAAGCGGGGUUAAGUCGUAACAA